rnacentral:rRNA from 1 species
AUUGAACGCUGGCGGCAGGCUUAACACAUGCAAGUCGAGCGAGCGGCGGACGGGUGAGGAAUGUCUGGGAAACUGCCUGAUGGAGGGGGAAAACUACUGGAAACGGUAGCAAAUACCGCAUACAAUCAGAUGGGCCCAGAGGGGAUUAGCUAGUAGGUGGGGUAAUGGCUAACCUAGGCGAAGAUUCCUAGCUGGUCUGAGAGGAUGACCAGCCACACUGGCACUGAGACACGGUCCAUACUCCUACGGGAGGCAGCAGUAGGGAAUAUUGCACAAUGGGCGCAAGCCUGAUGCAGCCAUGCCGCGUGUGUGAAGAAGGCCUUCGGGUUGUAAAGCACUUUCAGCAAGGAGGCGUUACUCACAGAGGAAGCACCGGCUAACUCCGUGCCAGCCGCCGCGGUAAUAC